GAUGAACGCUGGCGGCGUGCCUAAUACAUGCAAGUCGAGCGAACGGACGAGAAGCUUGCUUCUCUGAUGUUAGCGGCGGACGGGUGAGUAACACGUGGAUAACCUACCUAUAAGACUGGGAUAACUUCGGGAAACCGGAGCUAAUACCGGAUGAUAUUUUGAACCGCAUGGUUCAAAAGUGAAAGACGGUCUUGCUGUCACUUAUAGCUGGAUCCGCGCUGCAUUAGCUAGUUGGUAAGGUAACGGCUUACCAAGGCAACGAUGCAUAGCCGACCUGAGAGGGGGAUCGGCCCCACUGGAACUGAGACGCGGUCCAGACUCCUACGGGAGGCAGCAGUAGGGAAUCGUGCGCGAUGGGCGGAAGCCUGACGGAGCAACGCCGCGUGGGUGAUGAAGGUCUUCGGGUCGUAAAACUCUGUUAUUGGGGAAGAACAUAUGUGGAAGGAACUGUGCACAUCUUGACGGUACCUGAUCAGAAAGCCACGGCUAACUACGUG
rnacentral:rRNA from 1 species